rnacentral:rRNA from 1 species
CUUCCGAUGGCGACCGGCGCACGGGUGAGUAACACGUAUCCAACCUGCCGAUAACUCGGGGAUAGCCUUUCGAAAGAAAGAUUAAUAUCCGAUAGGAUAUCAAGAUCGCAUGACCUUGAUAUUAAAGAAUUUCGGUUAUCGAUGGGGAUGCGUUCCAUUAGUUAGUUGGCGGGGUAACGGCCCACCAAGACGACGAUGGAUAGGGGUUCUGAGAGGAAGGUCCCCCACAUUGGAACUGAGACACGGUCCAAACUCCUACGGAAGGCAGCAG